UCCAUCCACCGCUGGGCAGCAGAGGGACAGAGCCGCACGCACAGAGGGCGACGUGCUCUCCAGAAGCCGCCAGGACGGCAGAGGUGGCACACUUCAGCUCCCCAGCAUGGAAACUGCGCACUGAUGGCUGCUCUUUAGAGUUACCGCGGAGGCAUCGCGAGGUGGGAGCCCUGCGAGGGGCAGGCAGGCACCAGAGUCCGAAACAUGGCGUUCCCACUCCGGCCUGCCGAGCGGGUUACAAAACCAGCGCUCUGCUCCCCUCCCCCUUGCCGCAAGAUGAGAGAGCAAAUUCCCUGCACUGCAGCAGCGCCG